rnacentral:rRNA from 1 species
CGAACGCUGGCGGCGUGCUUAACACAUGCAAGUCGAACGUGAUUUUUGUGGAAAUUCUUUCGGGAAUGGAAAUGAAAUGAAAGUGGCGAACGGGUGAGUAACACGUGAGCAACCUACCUUACACAGGGGGAUAGCCGUUGGAAACGACGAUUAAUACCGCAUGAGACCACAGAAUCGCAUGAUAUAGGGGUCAAAGAUUAUCGGUGUAAGAAGGGCUCGCGUCUGAUUAGCUAGUUGGAAGGGUAAAGGCCUACCAAGGCGACGAUCAGUAGCCGGUCUGAGAGGAUGAACGGCCACAUUGGAACUGAGACACGGUCCAAAACUCCUACGGGAGGCAGCAGUGGGGAAUAUUGCACAAUUGGGGGGAAACCCCUGAUGCAGCGACCGCCGCGU